UGUAGAGGGACCUCAAGGACCACAAACACUCAGUUAUACUUUUGAUCAGAAGCCACACAAUAUAUGACACUCCCACCUGCAACUCUUUAUCUCUGUCCUACACUGACAGUUUUCUGACUUUCUGAACAUGGGCAACAUCAAACACGGUCUCAUCAGCUUGUUACUAUGUCUGCUCUGCAUAAAAGGUCUUAUUGAUGGGAGUGACAUCACCCAGACGCCGGACAUACUGUGGAAGAACAAGGCCGACAGUGCAACAAUGAACUGCAGCGACACCAAAGGUUCUGGCCACUUCCAGAUGUACUGGUACAGACAGCGGCCAGGAGAAACAAUGAAACUAAUCGUGUUCACAAGACUCGGUAACCAAGAUCAUGAUUUUGGAGUUUUCAGCAAAGAGAAAUUCUCAGCCACCAAGCCUGACGCUGCGAGUGGGACAUUCACAGUGAAGAACCUGGAGCCUGGAGAUAAAGGCUUGUAUUUCUGUGCUGGGAGUCAACACACUGAUACAGACACACUCAACAGCUGAACAAAAACCCCAGUGCACUGUUGGCUCUAUUAGUGAGUUAUCUGCUGAACUGUAGAGGGACCUCAAGGACCACAAACACUCAGUUACACUUUUGAUCAGAAGCCACACAAUAUAUGACACUCCCACCUGCA